rnacentral:rRNA from 1 species
GUGAGGAAUAUUGGUCAAUGGGCGAGAGCCUGAACCAGCCAAGUCGCGUGAAGGAAGAAGGAUCUAUGGUUCGUAAACUUCUUUUGCAGGGGAAUAAAGUGCGGGACGUGUCCUGUUUUGUAUGUACUCUGAGAAUAAGGAUCGGCUAACUCCGUGCCAGCAGCCGCGGUAAUACGGAGGAUCCGAGCGUUAUCCGGAUUUAUUGGGUUUAAAGGGUGCGUAGGUGGUUUGAUAAGUCAGCGGUGAAAGUUUGCAGCUUAACUGUAAAAAUGCCGUUGAAACUGUCGGACUUGAGUGUAAAUGAGGUAGGCGGAAUGCGUGGUGUAGCGGUGAAAUGCAUAGAUAUCACGCAGAACUCCGAUUGCGAAGGCAGCUUACUAAGCUACAACUGACACUGAAGCACGAAAGCGUGGGGAUCAAACAGGAUUAGAUACCCGGGUAGUCC